GAUGAACGCUGGCGGCGUGCCUAACACAUGCAAGUCGAACGGUGAAGCGCCAACCUUUUUGGUGGGUGUGGAUGAGUGGCGGACGGGGUAGUAACUCGAUAGUAACCUGCUCCCUCCUGCUGGAUAACGGCAUGAAAGUGCGGCUAAUACGGGAUAUUCUGGACCUGUCGCAUGAUGGGUUUGGGAAAGAUUUGGUGUCGGUGGGGGAUGGUCUCGCGGUGUAUCAGCUUGUUGGUGGGGUGACGGCUGACCAAGGCGGCGAUGGGUAGCCGGCCUGAGAGGGGGGUCGGCCACACUGGUGCUGAUGCACGGCCCACACGCCUACGGGAGGCGGCAGCAGGGAAGAUUCCUGCACGGGCGGAGGCAUGAUGAAGCAGCGCCGCGGGGGGGAGGAUGGACUCCUGCUGGUUGUGAACCUCUUUCGGGAAUGAAGAAAGGCUGCCUUGUUUGUGGGUGGGUUGACGGUACCUAAAUAAGAAGCGCCGGCUAACUACGUG
rnacentral:rRNA from 1 species